AAUUCAAUCAUGAGUUACUACAAUCAACAACAACCCCCUGUUGGUGUCCCUCCCCCGCAAGGUAAAAUUCUUAUUAUUAUUAUUAUUAUUAUUAUUAUUAUUAUUAUUAUUAUUAUUAUUUUGAUGAUUUUUUGGACAAGUUCAGUAUGAUAUUAGUUGGUUUUCUGAUUAGAUCUGAUGGAUUUUAGGGUUUGGUUUUUGAUUAUUGGAUGUGUAAAUAGGAUAUCCACCGGAAGGUUACCCUAAGGACGCAUACCCACCACCGGGGUACCCACAACAGGGUUACCCACCACAGGGGUACCCUCAACAAGGUUACCCUCCUCAAGGGUACCCUCCCCAGUAUGGUGCUCCACCCCCUCAACAACAACAGCAACAAUCUGGUAG
rnacentral:lncRNA from 1 species